GGUGGUUCAGUGGCAGAGUGCAUGCCUUGCAUGCAUGAGGCCCUGGGUUCAAUUCCUCAGCACCA
rnacentral:tRNA from 1 species